rnacentral:rRNA from 1 species
GACGAACGCUGGCGGCGUGCCUAAUACAUGCAAGUAGAACGCACAGUUUAUACCGUAGCUUGCUACACCAUGGACUGUGAGUUGCGAACGGGUGAGUAACGCGUAGGUAACCUGCCUGGUAGCGGGGGAUAACUAUUGGAAACGAUAGCUAAUACCGCAUAAUAUUAAUUAUUGCAUGAUAAUUAAUUGAAAGGUGCAAUUGCACCACUACCAGAUGGACCUGCGUUGUAUUAGCUAGUAGGUGAGGUAACGGCUCACCUAGGCGACGAUACAUAGCCGACCUGAGAGGGUGAUCGGCCACACUGGGACUGAGACACGGCCCAGACUCCUACGGGAGGCAGCAGUAGGGAAUCUUCGGCAAUGGACGAAAGUCUGACCGAGCAACGCCGCGUGAGUGAAGAAGGUUUUCGGAUCGUAAAGCUCUGUUGUAAGAGAAGAACGGGUGUGAGAGUGGAAAGUUCACACUGUGACGUAUCUACCAGAAAGACG